UAACAUGGUCAAGGUAAGGGUGAGAUAAAUCUUAAGGGGAUACUAGACUAAAAUUCAAAGAGACAAAAAAGACUUGAAAGAAACUGUGGGAGUUGAAUUUACAAAAUAUUCCAUUUCCUUCAACAACUCUAUAGUAAUUAUUUUCAUUCAUAUUUUUCUUCUCCUUUCUCUUUUUUCUUUUCUUUUUUUUUUCUUUCUUUUUCAUAAGGAGUAUGUAUUGACAUGUAUACAUUCUUCUAUUUUUUUUCAUUCAUUUUUUUCUUUUCUAUUUUUCUUUUCUUUUUCUACCAACUUCUGAAAUAUUACAAACAUAAUUAUUCAACCCCGCACAACUCCAAACAAGACUCUUUCAACCCUUUGAAUAAGGUGAUAAUAUUGUUUUUCACUUCUCAGUUUGUAAUGAGUUUUAAACAAAAAAAAGGAUAAUAGGCUAAAGGGGGUUUCAAACAAGGAAUGAUAUUAUUUCAGGGUUGACUUUUUGACUAACUGGCUAGAAAAACAAAAUAAAAUAAAAUUUAUUUUAUCAUAUCAGUGUGCACAAGUAAACAACAACAUCAACAAGAAUCAAUUCAAGUUCUAGAGACUAACAGACAUGAGUGAAUCACACAAGAAAUAAAGAGAUGA
rnacentral:lncRNA from 1 species